rnacentral:rRNA from 1 species
GAUGAACGCUGGCGGCGUGCCUAAUACAUGCAAGUCGAGCGAACAGAUGAGGAUCUUGCUCCUCUGACGUUAGCGGCGGACGGGUGAGUAACACUUGGAUAACCUACCUAUAAGACUGGGAUAACUUCUGGAAACCGGAGCUAAUACCGGAUAAUAUAUUGAACCGCAUGGUUCAAUAGUGAAAGACGGUUUUGCUGUCACUUAUAUAUGUAUCCGCGCCGCAUUAGCUAGUUGGUAAGGUAACGGCUUACCAAGGCAGCGAUGCGUAGCCGACCUGAGAGGGUGAUAGGCCACACUGGAACUGAGACACGGUCCAGACUCCUACGGGAGGCAGCAGUAGGGAAUCUUCCGCAAUGGGAGAAAGCCUGACGGAGCAACGCCGCGUGAGUGAUGAAGGUCUUCGGAUCGUAAAACUCUGUUAUUAGGGAAGAACAAAUGUGUAAGUAACUAUGCACGUAUUGACGGUACCUAAUCAGAAAGCCACGGCUAACUACGUG